CAGCUCCAAUAGCGUAUAUUAAAAUUGUUGCAGUUAAAAAGCUCGUAGUUGAAUUUCUGCUAAAAAUAACCGGUCUGCUUUUAAUAAAGGUGGUAUCUUGGUGUGUUUUUAGCAAUAAUGUCCUUUGAAAUGUUUUUUACUUCAUUGUAAUAAAUUAUAUUCAGGAUUUUUACUUUGAGAAAAUUAGAGUGUUUCUAGCAGGCUAAUGCUUUGAAUACUGCAGCAUGGAAUAAUAAAAUAGGAUUUUGGUUCUACAUUAUUGGUUUUAAGAGCUAAAUUAAUGAUUGAUAGGGACAGUUGGGGGCAUUUGUAUUUAACUGUCAGAGGUGAAAUUCUU
rnacentral:rRNA from 1 species